rnacentral:lncRNA from 10 species
AUUGACUAAUCCUACAACCUGUGGAACUGCUCUCUUUACAUUUUUCCUCGGCCUUUUUCAGAGACCAUAAAUGAAUAAGACAGAGAAACUGACAGGAGGAAAGCAAGCUGCCAGAGCUUAGAGCUGUUCUUUUGUCUGUACUGUUCAGGAACUGAAUCUUAUUCAAAUUCAUAGUAAUUUUUUUUCAAGCCAAGCCAACUCACAUUGGGAAUUGGAACUCUGCAUAAUGCUAGACGAGCUAACACAAAUGUCUCUGACGGCACUUCACUGACAGCUGAAUCAAGGCCAAUUCUAUGCCUCUGAGGAAUGCAGAGCAUACUUCAGGCUCUCCUGUUGCACAACACCCAAGUGAGCACCCAAGUGGUGGCUCUGGACCAAGAAUUGGACUGUUACAGCUACUGCCUACCAACAUAGGGUGUUCUGAGAGACAGGUUACAGCUACUGCCUAUCAACACAGGGUGUUCUGAGAAACAGCAAAGACACUUCGUUUCUGAAAAUGGCGAUCUGAGAACUUUAGAAAUGAACUUGAGAGGAAAAGAUGAACCUUAAAAAAUUUCACUAGGAAGUUGAACAUCUAGACCAGCAGUGUCCAAUAAAACUUUCUGCACUGAUACAAAUGUGUUAUAUCUGUGUUCUCCAAUAUGGCAGCUACCAAACACAUGUGGCUGUUGAGCACUUAAAAUGUGGUGAGGGUGAAUGAUAAACUGACUCUUUAAUGUUGCCUAACUUUAGUUUAAAUUUAAAUAGCCACAUGCAGCUAAUGGUUAUUGUAUUGAACAGUUCAGAUGUAAACAAAUGCUGGACUGAGCAACCAUUCAAAAAAAAUUUUAAGAUUCAUUUCUGAAUUCUUGAUCCUAAAAAAGUCCCUGUUUCCAUUGGGCCUGCUGUGAUGAAAUAAGUCUAUUUUAAGAACUUUGGGGAUAGAGAAAUCGUACUAGAUUUCCAAAAAAUUAAGGAUACUAAAGAUAUAGGUUGAUUUUUAAAGACUGUACUUGAACUUAUUCAUUUUAUAACUCAAAUUUUGUACCCUUUGAUCAAAAUCCUUCAUUUCUUUCACCCCCAGCACCUGACAACCACCUUUCUACUCUGUUUCUGUUACUAGUUAAUAAUUCUGUAUAUAAAAAUUUC